UUUUUUUUUUUUUUUUUUUUUGACUCUCUGGUUACAACCUGACACCUCCACAAGUUGUGCCUUGAAUGAGUUUUAAAAAUAAAAUCUGUAUUUUAGAAAUACUGACAAGUAUUGCAUGAGGAAAAAAAAAAUAUAUUUGUUAAAGUUGGGAUAAUGAAGAUGAAAACAGUGGAAGUCUUAAUGAUAUUAAGUGACCAGUCUUGUAAAUAUCAACUGUAAGGCAGUGCUUUUUUUUUUUUUCAAUACAUUUCUUUGUUUUAAAAUUGGAUCAAUAAAAUGACAGGAUAGAAAGACAUGCAGUUUGUAUUCAAGCAUUUUUAUUUUGGCCAAUCAUGAACAUUUUGUUUGACAUGGACUAACAUAAACCUUUGAUACCCAAACAUUUCAGCCAGUGGCAAGUUGCUAUCAGGCCCCCUGAAAUACGACAUUUUGCAUAAUGGUAGAUGUAGACGAUAUUUUUCACUUGAUGCAACCAUUUUUGAGGGGAAUAAGGCCAGUGACACUUCAGAAAUUUCUUUGGUUCCCAGGUUCAAAAUUGUAAGGCACUUCAAAUAAAAUCAAACCUCAUUUUUAGUGACCCACACUAAAUCAGGCAGUAAAUGGAUUUUUCUUCUUUGGUUUUUUCAAACACCAGAUAGUUUCAACUAUUUAAAUCAGUCCCAUUAAAUUGGUUGUACAAAUUGUUUGCAAUUAAACAAUUCAUAAAAAAACAAAACAACUAAUGAUAAAAAAAUCCUUAAAACAAAAAUGACCAAGUGGCAGUUAAUAAACAAACAAUAUAGAUUUACAGUAUGACUUAUGGGGGAGGGGCGGGGUUGCAAUAUAUACCCCGGUAUCAUGAAAUUAAUUUUAUUUUUACAGUUUAAGGUAUCAAUGACAGACAGACCCAAAAAAAGUGAUUGACUUAGUUUUAACUAAUGUACAACCAAUGGAAGCUCUGAAUGAUGAAUAAAGACAAGAACAUUGUGUAAUGAUUGUAGGAACAAAAAAACAAUAAUUAACUUAAGAAUACAUUACAUGUCGUUGAUAACUUUAAAAAAAAAAAACAA